GGAUGUGAGGGUGAUCUUUUUGCAACAUCUGUCACCUCACUGAUCACCAAGGUUGAUUUGCCUGCUCGGUUGGCUAGCCUGGGGUCCCCUUAAGCCUUCACCACUCCAUGUGCAUCCCUCCCCAAGCUACUGCACAAGGUCAGAGAAGACAACCAUCCCCGGUAAGGGAUACCCCCGAUCUUACAUCAAGAGUAUCUGGGUAGCUGUGCUACCCUGCUAGACUCUCCCAACAAACUCUCAAGGUCCAUUGUAGGAGAAUGUAGGGUAAAAAAGUAUAAAACAAUGAUCUGAAAACUGAAGGAUUAGAUGUAAAGAUGAAAUGAAUCCAUAGGCUGGAUGUCUCUUC
ensembl:misc_RNA 7SK 7SK RNA